UACUGAAGGAUAUUUUACAUGCUGUCAUUAGCUUAUAUCUCUGCGCCAGAUCACAGAUGCAUGAGAAUCUUUUGUUAGCAAAACACAUUUCUUUCUUACAUGUGACGUUUUGAUGAUUUUUCAUUUUUCUUUAUCUUUUUCUUUUGUGACCAAAGGAACUUUGUCAGAUUCAAUCUGAUGGCUUCAAUUUAAGCUGGAGUUCUGGAUCAAGUUUUAUAUUCAAUUUUUUUUGCUUUUAAUGAGUCAAUCUGAACACAAUUUUGCAUAUUCGGAUUAUUUUAGUUGACAUGCAAUAGUUUAUCUAACCAGUUCUAAGAGUUGUUUGUGGCAUUGUCUACAGAGAUGCAGGCCAAGCUGUUCCUCAUAAAGUAUGCUUGCCUGACAAUAUAUAGAGACUGACACUUAUUUGGUCCCCAAAGGAUGAGUUGAUAGUUCUCUCCUCCGAGAUGCAGGAAUUGACACCAUCAAUUCAAGGGAGGAGGCACAAGCUUAGAUGAGUUCACACCAGCAACACAAAAAAGGAUGAGGGCCUGAAAUCACAUCGGACGCCCACUGGGUCAUGAUGAUAUGGACUCCUCCACAGCGAGCAGCCAUGGGAUGUGAGAUCCACAUAGCAACGUAGAUAAGGGAAGCCCGCAACACUAGGCUGUUGUUGUUCCAGUAAAGAUCGAAAGGUCAGGCGACAGUGACGAUCGACUUUUUCGAGCAUGAUGACAACGACGACCUGCUCCUGCAAUGUCCGUUCCCUACCGUAGAGUGGGAAUAUAUGGGUUUGUAGUUGGCACUAUUUCUCGCAGGAAUUAAUUGAAAGCCAUGCAAAUUGCUGUUUUUCUUUCUUA